CCUCAGCCUCCCAAAGUGCUAGGAUUACGGGCGUGAGUCACUGCGCCUGGCCCAAGUCCGGAGUUUUCAACAGGACAUGGGUGUUACUGGGCCCAUGUGACAUUUGGGGACCCCAAGGCCCUGAGAAAGGCAGAAAAAUAACCCACGCAGGGACUCUCAGCCCACAAGUGAAGCUGAGAACCGGGAAUGGAAAACAGGGAGGCAGCACAGAGGCAGGAAACUCAGGUGUCACAGCUUGGCUCAGCUUGGAAUGCACUCCCUCCACCUCCACCCAGAGCUCCCCACAACUGACCCUGCCUUCUCCUGCAAGCUCCAUUUCAUCAAGGGAAAGGAUCCUUAUUGCCUCACCAUUUCCCACGUGAAGUCUGUAUUGACAUUCUCACAGACCUGGGAUAUUGUGUCUGCAGCACAUACUCCAAUUAUUUUCAUGUUAUCUACUGACAGGUCUAUUUGUCUCCCUGUUACACUGUGAGCUCCGUGAGGGCAGAAACAAUGUUAGUAUUUUCACUGCUGUGUCCCCAGUGCCUGGUCCGGGGCCCGGCACACAGCAGGCAUAUAAUAAGCAUGUGUUGAAUCAAUAAAGGCAUCAAAGAAUAAACCAAUACAUCAAUCAA
rnacentral:lncRNA from 1 species